UAUAACUCUUUCAGUUUUCAUUUAUGUUUGCAUUUAUUUAUUCAGCAUUCAUUUUAGCCAAAGUGGAAUUGGCUAUAAUGAAAUUACUGUUUAUCAAAUAUUACAAACCGAAGAAUUACACACAUUUACAGCUGAAUCAAAAAAGCUUUCUUAAGUAACGUAAAUUAACCAUUUGUUAGAUAACAUUGUAUUUUGAUUCUACUACACUGUAAAUCAACAUUAAAUGUCCCAUUAGCGUACGAUAUUUAUUUUAGAUUUUGAAUUAAUAUGCUUAGCUAAGUUUGCUUGCAUUUGACUUGAAUAUUAUUUCAAUCAGACUAGAGUACAUUACCAGGACGGCUUACAAAAACCGAUGUAACCCUGUACAAUGAAACCACUGUUGCCAACUGUCACAAGACAACAAAAACAGAAGUUAUUUUACGAAAAUCAGCAAACUGCAACAAAGCGGGAGGUACGCACUAUCUACUCAUCUCCAAUCACCUGUGAGCAGAAUAGGACUGGAGAGAUGGAAAAGGAGAAAAGACAAGAGCUUUAAGGAGGAGCAGUAACAUUGCCACAUAUUUAUAGCCUAAUAAAGUAUAUUCAAACCAAA